rnacentral:rRNA from 1 species
UACGUAGGGGGGCAAGCGUUGUCCGGAUUUAUUGGGCGUAAAGAGCUCGUAGGCGGUUGGGCAAGUCACGUGUGAAAUCUCCACGCUCAACGUGGAGGCGCCACGUGAGACUGCCCUGACUCGAGUCCGGUAGGGGAGCGUGGAAUUCCCGGUGUAGCGGUGAAAUGCGUAGAGAUCUGGAAGAACACCAAUGGCGAAGGCAGCGUCCUGGGAAGUCACUGACGCUCAGGUGCGAAAGCUAGGGGAGCGAACGGG